AGCGGCAGAUACACUCACACACACAUCACGCAACCGGAAACUGGUUGCUGGGAGCUGGGAGCUGAUAGUUGGUAGCAACUAGAACACACCAGGGUGUCAUCGUCAGCCAACCGUCAUGGUCCUCCAAACUAAACAUAAACACUGAUAUUCCGAAUACCAUACCACCACACACACGUGAAGAGCAGAGAAGGACGAAGGAAAGUUCCGGCGUCCUCGGAACUUGUUUUCAAACGAACCUGAUUACCAGGUUCUUGUUAAAUGGGUGGAAACGGAGCACGGCUAUUUGCGAGCUUAGAGCCCACCACCGUCCGCCGGGACAUUAAUUAAUCACGGCCUUGUCAUUCGCAAGGAUCAAGGAGUGGCAAAACAAGCAGGCGCAGGCGAGUGGCGAGUGGAGAGCGGCGACGAAGGGCGCGGGAAUCAAAUUAACAGUGCGUCAAAAGGAUUAGGCCAAGAAGGACGACAUCGCGGGGCGUUCGGAGUUAGCAGCACGUAGCACGUAGCACAUAG